GAUGAUGAUAUUACAUUGAACAUAGUAUAAUUAUGUUAUCAUCAAUUAUUUAUACAGAACCCGUUACUUUAUAGAAAACCAUAAACAACAACGAAUCCUUUUUUCCUUCUUUCUCUCUCUAAUUUAUAAGUACAGACAAGGAAUACUAAAAAUAACUGAAAGUGCUGCUAAAAAUUGCGCUCACUUUUUUUGAAAAAAUAAAAAAUUGCGCCAGCUCCAAGACACGGGUUAUUUUUAAAAUUAAUUUGUCAUUUUUUUCAGUGGUGAAAUAAGCUCUAUUUUUAGCUUCACGCUUCCUAUCGUUACUGUAAAGUUUAAGGUGAUGGGAUGGAAGUGCUGUGUCCCAAGAUGUUGUCAAUAUUAUGAAGGCACCCCCAAGAAUCCUAAGAUCAAAUAUUAUAGUUUUCUUGGUUUCAAUGUGCAUCCUAAUCUGGAAUUGUCAAUCAAAAAUAUGGGCAAUUACUAAGAAUUCAAGACAAUACAGCCUCCAUUUUACGAAAUUAGAUUAUAUUACCCAUUCUGUAGACCAAAUACAGGGCAGUGGUUGUCAAAUUAAUCAGCAAUUGGAACUAAGGAGACUGAAGAAGGAUGAUGUGCAUUGAGUGUGGUCAAAUCUUCCACUCUACCUUUCUUCUCCUCUGUCUGUUCCUAGAACCACCCAAGAAUUCAGUAGUGGUUCACGAAUCCAGCUUGAAAACGAGCGUCAGGAAGCCUUCAAGCUCAAAAUGUUAGAGGUAGAAGAAGCUUUAACCGAGGAAGCGAUUGAUGGUAAGGGCCAUGAUAUAAUGGUUAUCCUCUAAAGUCUAAGUAGACCUUACCUUUCGAAUUUUUCAUUGGCAUCAUACAAUAAGCAAUAGUUGAGUUUCCCACUGUAUUUCCGCAAUGGCUAAUGUCGUCAAAUCAGCAACUGAAGUAAUCAACAUGACUGCGUAUUUAGGAUCGAAAGAGUUCUUAAAUAAUGAAGAGACUUAUGAAAACAUCAUUGGCUUAUUGAACAAACUACUUGCAUCCCCAGACUUGGAGCCAAUUCAUUCUUCAAAAUUGACUUUCAUCAUAGAACAGAUGACAUUACUCUUCAAGAAAUCCAACAGAAGGAGAUUUUCAUCUUGUCUUCUCUCUGUUUGUCCUCUGUGGUAAAGUGUUAGUACGGCCCUCUAUGAUCCAAUCUUUGAGUUUAAUUCUCUUACAGUUUCAUGUCCCAAGAUUCUUAGAACUCUGUUUCCUACAGUUACUGUAGAAACUGGACUACCGUCAUCUAUAGGAAAAUAUCUUGAAACAAGGAUCAAACACCUAAACAGCAGAGAGCGUAAUGUCAACUUAUAAUCGAUGAAGUAUACUCCUUAGAAACAGUCAAGUUUGUUAUAGAUAAGUUCUUAGUAAGCAAGAAGAGCCGAACAAAUAAAACAGUCCUUACAUUUAUGAUCAAAUUCGUUGGAGGAAACUACAUGGAUGUGGUAGCAUUUAUACCAGUCAUCAAAUUAAACGGUGAAUUCCUCUACAGAAAAUAUAUUCUAACUAUGAAAACCCUCUAUCAAAUCAUAUUUAUAGCUUUGGCUGUAUUAGUUGACAACCACCCAGUCAACAGGAAGUUCUUCCCUCAUUUUCUUUGUGGUGGUGAGCUCCAGACUUCAAUUACUCACCCACACAACAUCAAUAGAAAAUUUCAUCCCAUCUUCGAUCCUGUAAACGAUUUUAAUAAUAUUUAUAAGGGCUUCCAAAGGCAGGAAUACUUCACCAUUCACCUGAACCGUCUAGGAGUUAAAUCAUCAUUACACCCUAACUUUGCACAAAUAAAUCUACACUAUAAAGUGUCAAGAAAGAGCUCAGAAACUACAAUCGAAGCAAUAAUUGAUCCUGUAUGUGAUUAAGGUCACAAAUGGGCAAGCCUUCUUGGCAAAAUUUUACAAAUCCUCUUCAACGUGAUGGGCAAAAAAUUGGUUCCUCAACUUAAUGACAACAUCUGACAGGAAGACAGAAAAAGAUCAUCUGAAUGCAAGCUCAAUUUUAGAAAAGUUUCCAAACUUCAAUCUGAUAGUGUUUAAGUUAUGAACAUUAAUUUUUCUGGUGUGUGCAUCUAUUUUUAAAAUAAUUAAAGUAAAUUAUAUUAGUGAUAUAUUACAGCUUAUUGUCCUAUUAUUUAUAAGUAUUGAUAGAUUUUAACUCGUACAAUCUGUAUUGAACAACAUAAUGAAUACAUUUUUAUUAAAAAAAUAAAAAAAUUCUUGAACA
rnacentral:lncRNA from 1 species